rnacentral:lncRNA from 1 species
AACUGGAAAAACGAGUCAUCCAGAUGCAGACCCAUCUGGACCACUAGCUGUGGAAGAAAACAGACUUGAUGCAUUUAUCAUCAGGAUAACCGAAUCUGCCCUUAACCCAAUUCACAAUAGACACCUCCUGUGCAUGGUUCUGUCUGCCUGAGAUAUGAAAAUACACAGAAACAGGCAAAGAAGAUUUUCUGAAAACUGAAGGACAGCAUUUUGGUCAGCACGCCUGAAAAACUAAUGAAAAUACAACUGGAAGUAAUAUUAUGUCAUUCUGUCUUUUCUCUUUAUGCUAUACUGUAUAUAAUUAAAA